rnacentral:rRNA from 1 species
GACGAACGCUGGCGGCGUGCUUAACACAUGCAAGUCGAACGAAGAGCGAUGGAAGCUUGCUUCUAUCAAUCUUAGUGGCGAACGGGUGAGUCACGCGUAAUCAACCUGCCCUUCAGAGGGGGACAACAGUUGGAAACGACUGCUCAUACCGCAUACGAUCUAAUCUCGGCAUCGAGGAUAGAUGAAAGGUGGCCUCUACAUGUAAGCUAUCACUGAAGGAGGUGAUUGCGUCUGAUUAGCUAGUUGGAGGGGUAACGGCCCACCAAGGCGAGGAUCAGUAGGCGGACGGCGAGGAUGAGAAGCCACAUUGGGAGGGAGACACGGCACAGACGCCUACGGGAGGGAGCAGGAGGGAAACGUGAGGAAGGGACGAAAGACAGACGGAGAAACGCCGAGGGAGGGAGGACGGCCGUCGGGUUGUAAAGGACGGUUAAUCGGGACGAAAGGCCUUCUUGCGAAGAGGGAGAAGGAUUGACGGUACCGGAAGAGAAAGCAACGGCUAACUACGUG